rnacentral:lncRNA from 1 species
CACCACCUACAGUUACACUUUAAUGGAAUAGAGUCUGCUCCAGUCUUCCCUUUGUUGUCUUUAUACAUUUGAUUUCACUUAUUGGUAACAUUUCCUCCAUCGAUUAAAAAACCCUCUACAGGCUAAAGGAGGGAAGGGUGCUCUAAAGUUGCUUGCUUUCUGCAUUUCUUUCCCCGUGGCUUGCAAAAUCUCAAAUUCUAUGUUUCUUUGUUUGUCAUGCUCUGUUUCCUCGAUGACUCAUCAAAUCUUCUUUGUUUUUACCUCUCUUUUCUUUUUUUUUUGGUUUGAUUUUGAGGGUCCAAGUCAUUAAGAGUCAAACUAUUGUUUUCCAUUCUUCUCCAGGUAUAGAACUUUCUCUCUCAUUUUUAAUCUUUUCCAUUACAUUCAAUAAGUUCAAGUUAUGACCUAUUGAGUAAAGUUUCUAAUUCAUUUGCUGGUUUUAGUUUUGUUAGUUUGAUGUAUUUAGUGUUCUUCACAUUACUUGUUUUGAACGCCAUUGCCGGUUGAGUAUGGCAAUUCAAUUUCAGGUUUUCAUACUGUCUCAGUCUCUUAUGUAAAAAUUAUUAGUAUCUAUGAUUCCAAUAACUAGGAAAUUUUGAAAAUGAAUCGUUCACCCCGAGAGUACGAAGUUAUAGUGUAAUCAAGGAACAUACAGAUGGUAUGACAACAUUUUGCUUGCAAAAUAUGACAUGAGGUAACUUUUAAAGCUAGGAACAAUUAAGCCACCAUGUUGCUCUAAAUGGAAGUCUUUCCCUUUUAACUUCUUACCUUAUACCUGGAACAACGCUCGGCAAUAUGAUCGACUGAAAGAACUUCAAGAGGACAAGUGGCUAGUCUUUUUUAUUUUAGUUCACCAUAUCAAAUAUGAACCGUUUUGCCAAAAAAAUAAACUACAUGGAUUUAUGAGAACAAAUUUAUCUCGGACAUGAACUAAGCUUCUUGAGCUAAAUGAUGUUGAGCUGAGUGGUUUCCUGGUAGUUUGAGUCCUAUCAGUUUGUAUGCAUGGCUGUCUUAUAUAGCUCAGAGUUGUUAGCCUUUGUGCUUGCUUGGUUAGCAUUUAGUGUAGUAUGAACCCUAUAUGUUAUGUUACAUUAAAGGGACAUUUAGUUAAAGGAAUGUAAUAUUAUUUUUAGUAAUAGAAUUACUAGGUCGAAUGUCGGGUAUCUUACUAUGUGCUUCAUUUGACUAGAAUGUAGGAUUGUGGUGUUUAGUUGACGGAAUGUAAAAUCAAC